rnacentral:misc_RNA from 1 species
AAUCCUUUGGAACGUCAAAUUUGAUGCCAACGAAUCGACCAAUUCCAACUUUCCUGUGGACCACGUAAUCGCCGGAACGGAGAGUGUAAGGGUCCACCUUGUAACUAAAGGUAGGUUGAGCUGCAUCAUGUGGAGCACCUUGUCUGGCUCUGUCGCUUUUGAGCUUCUGAAGGCCCCUUUGCUGCUGCUCUUUCACGAGCUGAAUGUACUUAUCAGCCUCCUCGGAAUCCAUGGCCGGUCUAAGAGGGGAGUGAUCUCUCUUAGCAUGCUCCCGGCGAAUUCGCUCGUUGAGUAGAGAAAUGGCGUCUCGCUCUUGCUCCUGUCUUGCAUUCCGUAGUCGGGGAGGCAAUUUGGUAUGUACAGCAUCGGCAUUGAGGACAUUGGUUAAGGUAAUAGAAGAGGAGGAGGGAGAGGGAAAAGAGGGUUUUUGAGUAGUGGAGAAGAGUUUGCAGAGACGAGUUGUGAGAAAGCACUCCGAGGGAGAGAAGAAGAGGGAGGCCUUUGCAGCGGCCAUGGAUGGAUAAACUUGUAAGAGCAAACUUGUUCUAAUUUCUCAAAGCAGAGCUUCAAUGGAACGUCGGGUUUG